GACGUAGGGCGCGAGCGUUGUCCGGAUUUAUUGGGCGUAAAGAGCUCGUAGGCGGCUUGUUGCGUCGACUGUGAAAACCCGCGGCUUAACUGCGGGCUUGCAGUUGAUACGGGCAGGCUAGAGUUCGGUAGGGGAGACUGGAAUUCCUGGUGUAGCGGUGAAAUGCGCAGAUAUCAGGAGGAACACCGGUGGCGAAGGCGGGUCUCUGGGCCGAUACUGACGCUGAGAAGCGAAAGCGUGGGGAGCAAACAGG
rnacentral:rRNA from 1 species